CCUACGGGUGGCAGCAGUGAGGAAUAUUGGUCAAUGGACGAGAGUCUGAACCAGCCAAGUAGCGUGAAGGAUGACUGCCCUAUGGGUUGUAAACUUCUUUUAUAUGGGAAUAAAAUGUUCCACGUGUGGGAUUUUGUAUGUACCAUAUGAAUAAGGAUCGGCUAACUCCGUUCCAGCAGCCGCGGUAAUACGGAGGAUCCGAGCGUUAUCCGGAUUUAUUGGGUUUAAAGGGAGCGUAGGUGGAUUGUUAAGUCAGUUGUGAAAGUUUGCGGCUCAACCGUAAAAUUGCAGUUGAAACUGGCAGUCUUGAGUACAGUAGAGGUGGGCGGAAGUCGUGGUGUAGCGGUGAAAUGCUUAGAUAUCACGAAGAACUCCGAUUGCGAAGGCAGUUCACUGGACUGCAACUGACACUGAGGCUCGAAAGUGUGGGUAUCAAACAGGAUUAGAUACCCUUGUAGUC
rnacentral:rRNA from 1 species